CGUGAAGACUCUCUCUCUGCCUAUUAUCUCAGUGACUCUGGGAACCGGAGGCUGCCUCAGAGCGCGCGUGUGUUUGUGUGUGUGUGUCGGUCGGGGGAAACAGAGAUACGGUAGAGAAGAGGGAAGCACGAGAAAUAGACUAAGGAGCGGGAGUUUUUUUUCUCUCCCCCUUUUGCCUCCCCGUUUCCCUGCUCCCUGUCACUCCAUCCUUCACCCCUCUGACACCUACCCACCUACCCUCCUCCUCCCCCUCCUCCUCCUCCUCCUCCUCCUCCUGCUCCUCACCGGACCACCGUCCAUCCCACUGCUUUGGAGCCGGACCGGAACCUUCCUCCCUCCCGCCGGCCAACACCACCAUCUCGACCGCCACGCUCUGCCUCACCCGCCUCCCCCUGGACCCCCCUCAGGACCCCUUUGACUCUCCCUGCUACUUUUUCGCCCCACUGGCCGCAACCCCCCCGGUGACAGCUGACUCAGACCCGUUGAGUCCCGUGUGUUAAAGACCAGUUCGGAACCAGUACAGAACAGUUUCACAACCUUCGCAGGGUUUGAUGUGAACUUGUCUCGUGACAGACGGACCGAGCUAAUCCCUGUCUGAAGGAAUCCUACCUGCCUGAGGUCACAUGACCUGGAAGAGGAAACCAUCCCUCUUCGAAUGGGACCACCACCAACCUGAGGAGGAGUCCACAGGCUGAUGAACUGAUAUCCCCUGAUAAUACGACAUAUCAUUAGCCACGCCCCCCUCUCUCCCCUACUGCCCUGCGUUGGACCCUGAGCACCCUGAGGUGACUGGCUUGCUGCGGCGAAAAUCGCAUUCCCUUCCCUCCUGAGAAUUUCCCUUUCCCCGACCCCCCUCCC